rnacentral:lncRNA from 1 species
ACCUCUACUCCAUCACCGCGUCCGCUCCUCAGCUCACUCUUGCUGUAGGCCUGAGUUUACUGCUUCAUGGUUUUGAGAGAUUGAAAAAUCCAACAAUCUACCUUUGAAUAUGGACCACAGAAAAGAUAUUUAAAAGUCCAGUUCCCUUCCUAAGAUUGUCUGUGGAAUGACUUCAGAAGAGGAUCCAUCACACUGAAGGUGCAGAUCCUGACUCUAGAGAUCAGAGCUGCCUGACUGAGAGGUUGAUGGCUAUGGACACUCCAGGACAAGGCCCAUACCCUAUUAGCCCUGAGCUAACAUCUGCUGCCAAUCCUCCUCUUUUUGCUGAAGUAGACUGGCCCUGAGCUAACAUCCAUGCCCAUCUUCCUCUACUUUAUAUGGGGGACGCCUACCACAGCAUGGCUUUUGCCAAGCGGUGCCAUGUCUGCACCCGGGAUCCAAAGCAGCAAACCCAUGGACGCCGAGAAGCGGAACUUGUGAACUUAACUGCUGCACCACUGGGCCGGCCCAGGAGAUGACAUUUCUAUAUAGAAGGGUUUAGGACUGCAAUCUCCAGUGAGACAGGCCUGUGAGGAGAUGAGGGAGGCCUGGUUGAGCAGUAGGAGAUGUCAACCUGCAGUGUGUUUGCAAAUGAGGACUCAGCUGAUUCUAUGAGGCCUCCAGAGCUGGGGUGGCCCUUUGGAGUUGUCUCAAAUUCAAGCAAGGCUGCCCAGUCUUUUUAUCCGUGGAUUAGCCCCCAGGAGGGGGGUAUAACCCAGGGCAAAGCAGUUCUCUGAGGUCUAGGGUGAUUCUCAGUGAGAAGAAGCAACUGUGAGCUUACAGCAGGCAAAUUCCCAGUAGCUUAUGAUGGUGCCUGAACAGGGGAUCUGGGCCAAGUCAUCCACUCCAUUGAUGGGAAACUAACCAUUGAUCCUUCACAUCUCUGCCCUCCUUCCGUCCCAGCCCUCAAGGAAAAUGUCUCCUUCAUCCUCAGCUGAAAAGUCCAAAGCUAUCAUGAAUAUCAGAGAGUGAAAAGGAUGUCAACAAAUCUGGAAUGGAGCUAAGAUACAGAGAAGAUAGUGAGGAGCAACUGAGGGAAGAGAAUGCCCUCUAUGUUCACUUCAGAGCUCUCAAGGUGGUUUUCUCCAGCUGUGCUUCACAGACUCUCCUGGGCUGGUCUCUUAAUGCAUUAAACUUGAUAAUAUGCCACUCUAUGCUUCUGUUUCUAUUAGCAAUUUACUCGUGAAUAUUUAAUAAAAAUAAAAUUAAAAAGCCAGCUGACACCAUUUGUU